ensembl:lncRNA uncharacterized LOC114435597
AAACUUUGACUAAACUUUGGUUUGAUUGAACCAAAAGUCAAUAAGGUUUGUUUACAUCAAUAUGUGUGAGCAGUGAAGUAAUCGCUUGUUUGUGCAGGCUGCAGCAGAUUUGCUGUAGUACUGAUAAAGUCCAUUUUGACACAUACGUCCACCCAUGCAUUUACUGACCCAUACAGGGUUACAGGGGGAGCUGGAGCUUAUCUCAGCUAUCAGUGGCCGAGAGGUGAGGAUGUUGUAAUCAAUGACUUGAUACAGUUUGGAGGUCUGAUUGAUUUUUUGAGAUAUAGCCUAAGUAGUGAAGUCUGGGUUUGGAUGCCCCCUUUUCUCCAGUUUAUACGGUGUGUUUGCAAAGCAGUGUGUUUGACGAGCAAACAUCAAAUCAGGGUUGACAUGUGGUUUACCAGCAUUACAGCCACAAGAUAGAGGGGCGGGUAGAUGUGUCUGAACAAUAAUUGGUCAGUGAUGUAAAUAUAAAACAGUCCUCGCUGAGACAGAGACACCAGAGACGAGCUCUCGCUGAGCCACCAUGAGGACCUUUUGUGUUGCUGUGAUCGUGUUGAGUCUCCUUUCAGUGGGUCAGCCUGCGCCCCUGACCUGUGAGACACUGAUGAAGCCGCGGGACACUGAAGGCCCUGAUCUGACUGGGAGGUGGUUCUUUCUAGCUCUGUCUGCAGAGCACUGUAUUGCACCGACACUGCUAGAUGUUCUUCUCAGGCCCAGUUUUGUCUUUGACGUUACCUCCAUGGAUGCUCCGAAUGUCUACAACAGCAGCAUAAAAAUCACAAUAGACGGACACUGCUUAGAACAAUCUGAGAUGUUUUUCUAUAAGGACAACCAAAUGUUUGAAGUUGACAGUAACAAUGCUGCACUGGGCAAAGCAGAUGUGUUUCUGUACAGUGGAUGUCCCGACUGCAUUGUUGUAAAGGGGACAGAUAUCAUUGACACUCUUAUGCUCAUCAGUAGGAGAAAGGUCGUCACUGCUGCAGAGCUGGCGGAGUUCGAGACGCAGGCCAGGUGUCUUGGAUGGUCCACACCGCAGGUCUUCAAAGCAGAACACGCUUUGGAAAACUGCAAGGUAGCCGAUGACGUCUCUGAUGAAGAAACUUUAACCAUCAUGCAGAGCAUCUAUCCCAAGAUGUAUGACAGGGUAAUAAGUAUGCAUGACAAAAUAAUCAACUGUAUCGCCAACUUAGUCGUUUCUUUCUUCAAUUCCUUUUUUUAAAAGUAAAGUGUUUUAAGUGACUACAGUGUAUUUUUGUGCACACCUGGGUGUGUACAAGUCUGUUUUAAUAUUUCCUUCUGCGAUGUUGAAUGUUCUGUGUGACUCUACACCUGAGGACCGAGUUUCAGGUCUUACUGUUGACACACAGCAGGUGUAGUGUUUGGCAUCCUCCCUCUAAUUUUUUUUCUCACUUUUUUUCUUUUUACCUGAAAUGUGGUUUAUAGCUUUAUAAAACAAAAUUAUGAUGUGAUGUAUUGUGUGCCAGCACAGUACACUGUGCACUGAAGCGUCUGAAUCUGCUGGUUGGGAUGAGACUUGUUACCAUGGAAACAACUAAAGUGAUGGAAAAGCUUGUUGUAGUUGGGAGAAGAAGAGCAGAAAAUUCAUUUCUGCUGUGAAUGUGGGACUAUGGGGAUUAACUUGCUUUUGGAGUCAGCUCCUAGAGGCCGUUGGUGGAACUGCAGGUUCAGAAUAGGCUUCAUUUCAUGCUGCAUGUUGGACUUUGUCCCGGGCUCACUGAACUGCCUGGUGUUAAUCAAACACACUUGUCCAUUCUUUGCAAACUGUUGUGCUUAUAACUUUAAAACUAAUCAGUUAACUUAGAGUUAUAUUGAAAAGAUGAUGGUUUGAGUUUCUGCUGAUGUUAUCUGGUCAGAAGGUCAAUCACUUCUGCAUUAUGUCAGUGUGAGCAACCAAAAAGAAAUGGCAUUAAAGCAAAAUUAUUAUUUCUGUCAUUAUUGUUGUUGCAGAUGAAAAAAAUAAAAUACACAUAACACAGCA